CAACCCUCAAGCCCCUCCGGGCGUGGCGUUGGGGAUCGGCCCCGCUUCGGCGGCCGGCCCCGAAAUGUAGUGGCGGUCUCGCCGCUGCCUCCUCUGCGUAGUAGAAACACCUCGCAUUGGGAAGCGGCGCGGCCACGCCGUUAACCAGAUGAAUUAUCUUCAA
rnacentral:misc_RNA from 1 species